rnacentral:SRP_RNA from 1 species
ACUCUUCUGUGCUGGGAGUGGUGGUUCCAGCUGUUCCAGAGUCUGAGGCAGGAGGAUUGUUUGAGCCCCCGAGUUCUGGGCUGUAGUGAGUAUGCUGAUUGGCUAUCGACACUAAGUUCAGCAUUAAUAUGGUGACUUCUUGGGAGUAGUGAACCAUCAGGUUGCCUAAGGAGGGGUAAACCAACGUCAGAAAUGGAGCAUAUCAAAAGUCCUGUGCUAAUCAGUAGUGGGGUUAUGUUUGUGAAUAGCCUCUGCACUGUAGCUUGGGCAAUAUUGUGAGAUCCUGUCUCU